rnacentral:rRNA from 1 species
GUGGGGAAUAUUGGACAAUGGGCGCAAGCCUGAUCCAGCCAUGCCGCGUGAGUGAUGAAGGCCUUAGGGUUGUAAAGCUCUUUCGGCGGGGAAGAUAAUGACGGUACCCGCAGAAGAAGCCCCGGCUAACUUCGUGCCAGCAGCCGCGGUAAUACGAAGGGGGUUAGCGUUGCUCGGAAUCACUGGGCGUAAAGCGCACGUAGGCGGGUUGCUAAGUCAGGGGUGAAAUCCUGGAGCUCAACUCCAGAACUGCCUUUGAUACUGGCGACCUUGAGUCCGGGAGAGGUGAGUGGAACUGCGAGUGUAGAGGUGAAAUUCGUAGAUAUUCGCAAGAACACCAGUGGCGAAGGCGGCUCACUGGCCCGGUACUGACGCUGAGGUGCGAAAGCGUGGGGAGCAAACAGGAUUAGAAACCCUAGUAGUCC